UUACUCGUUACUAAAAUUCCACAAGUGGUAGCUUGUUAAAGGCGAGUUGCGGUUUAGAAUCUGGAAGCAUGUCAGUGAUUCAACAUUUCAUACUCAGCUACAUUAAAAGGCAUUGGUCAUCUUGCACGCCAGGUAAACGUGGUCUUGCACGAAACAAGCUGCUAGUUUAGACCACGACUCCCGUCACAUGGGUCUUUCCCUUAAGGCAGCCACCGUGCUUCUGCAUGCGGCCCAAGCGCUUUGUGUGCCUUGCAUUUCAUCCCUCAGAACGAUGAAAUGACUUGCACUCAAGCUGUGGGAUUUGGGAAAGCCGGUAAUAUUUACUCCUUUAUGAGGGACACUCUCCUGUACGUGCACGGAGGUGUCGCCCUGCUCAAGGUUAGUGGGUUACACAGUGCGUGGAAACUUGGAGCCAGCCGAGAAUUCUGCCUACCACAGACACCAGUGCUUUUGCACCAUCAGUGAAAAUGUUUUACCUUGUGAAAACACUGUGACCUCCCAAACUCCUGAACAUGUCUUCGGCAUCCACAGGGAUCCGCUGUUGCAGGUAUCCUGGGCAGAGCAGAGGAGGUGGGGGAAGAGGCCAGAAAUGUGAUGAUGUGGGUAUGAUUUUCCCCAAUCUCCACUCACAAAGAGAACCAGAAACAGACUUUACAAGAGAGCAAAAAGUGUGGAGUUCCUUGCAGUAACGAGCACAGUUCUAGACAGCAGCUGCUCUGAUGACAAAGAACAGAGCCCCCAGUGGACCCCUGACCAGCGUGGAGUGUCAACAGGCAAACACACGUCUUCAAC